AGGUCAGAAAAGAACCAAACUUCACCUCCUCCGUAUGCUGCAUUAAGACAGCCCGCAAGAGUAACCUGUGAGGGGAAGGAAGGAAAGCAGCAGGAGCCAGAGGCAAAAACAAGGAGCAAGGAGAGCCCUUGAAAGGAGGGGGGAGACACAGAGGCCAAGAGUGGUGACAAAGAACAAGCACUCCCCAACCAGGAACACACCUGUGAGUCUGUCCACCCUGGAUCCCAGGCAAGGAGCUGGAGCACCAAGACGAAGUUGAAGAAAUCAUGAGCAAUCUCUUCUUCACAUCGGGAGAUGGCAAAUCCAAGGCAUGGAGCAGUACAGAGCACGUACAUGGCACACAACUGCGUAAGCACUCCUAAGAUGAAGACAUCAAAGACCUCCACCUCCCCGAGGCCUCCCUCUCACUGCUUCCCGUCAGUCUCCCUGCAGAGGCCCUGCUGCUCUGCUUUCCAUCACCCUGAAGUCAUUCUGGCUGCCUCCGAACUUCCUAAAGGUGAAAAUCGUACAUACUCUUCCGUGUCUGGCUUCUUUCAAAAGAUUUGUCUGUGAGACUCAGCCAUGCUUUUAAAUGCAGCAGUCUUCUGUUCGUUUUCUCUGCUGGGUAGUAUUCCAUUGUAUGGACAUACCAUCCUUAC